rnacentral:rRNA from 1 species
GAUGAACGCUGGCGGCGUGCCUAAUACAUGCAAGUCGAGCGAACAGAUGAGGAGCUUGCUCCUCUGACGUUAGCGGCGGACGGGUGAGUAACACGUGGAUAACCUACCUAUAAGACUGGGAUAACUUCGGGAAACCGGAGCUAAUACCGGAUAAUAUAUUGAACCGCAUGGUUCAAUAGUGAAAGACGGUUUUGCUGUCACUUAUAGAUGGAUCCGCGCCGCAUUAGCUAGUUGGUAAGGUAACGGCUUACCAAGGCAACGAUGCGUAGCCGACCUGAGAGGGUGAUCGGCCACACUGGAACUGAGACACGGUCCAGACUCCUACGGGAGGCAGCAGUAGGGAAUCUUCCGCAAUGGGCGAAAGCUUGACGAAGCAACGCCGCGUGAGUGAUGAAGGUCUUCGGAUCGUAAAACUCUGUUAUUAGGGAAGAACAAAUGUGUAAGUAACUAUGCAAGUCUUGACGGUACCUAAUCAGAAAGCCACGGCUAACUACGUG